rnacentral:rRNA from 1 species
ACUCAAAUGAAUUGACGGGGACCCGCACAAGCAGAGGAUGAUGUGGUUUAAUAUGACGCUACGCGUAGAACCUUACCAAGGCUUGACAUCCUAGGAACCCACUGGAAACAGAGGGGUGCCUUCGGGAGCCUAGUGACAGGUGCUGCAUGGCCGUCGUCAGCUCGUGUCGUGAGAUGUUGGGUUAAGUCCCGCAACGAGCGCAACCCUUAUCGUAUGUUGUAUUUUUCAUGCGAGACUGCCCGGGCCAACCGGGAGGAAGGUGGGGAUGACGUCAGGUCGGCAUGGCCCUUACGCCUUGGGCUACUCACGUCAUACAAUGGCCAGUACAACGCGCUGCGAUACCGCGAGGUGGAGCAAAUCGCAUCAAAACUGGUCUCAGUUCGGAUUGGAGGCUGCAACUCGCCUCCAUGAAGUCGGAUUUGCUAGUAAACGUGGGUCAGCACACCACGUUGAAUACGUUCCCGGGUCUUGUACACACCGCCCGU